rnacentral:pre_miRNA from 14 species
CAGCUUAUAAGGAUCACGGUGCGGAGCAGCAGCUGGUGUUGUGAAUCAGGCCGUGACCACUCAGAAAACGGCUACUUCACAACACCAGGGUUGCUUCUCACCUCUGCCAGCAUUUGGACAU